UGCACCCACGUCAGCUAACUAGUUCCUACGGGACAUCUGAAGCAAACCCCUCAAAACCUGACGCCCACCAAAUCAUUUGUAUCGCCGACCUCGCUCCAGAUCCCGCGCCGCCGCUGUCCUCCGCGAGCAGCCGAGCACCAUGCCGGAUCCCACUACCACCCCGCCGCCUCCCUCCGACGGUCGCGCGGUAAUCUUUCUUCUCCGGCUGGCGCGAACCUUCACACUCCGUCAGAUCUGGGCGCUCGUCCUCGCAGGCUAUGCGCCCACGCCGAUGGCGGUUUCGGUAGGCAGCUCGGCCUUGGGCAACUUCAGCAGCGUCCCCAGCCGCGGCAUCGGGGCGAUGCUAGAGCUGGAAGAGGGCCGCGUCGUUGCAGCGAGGGAGGCGCGGCUGGAGCCUGGAGGACGCGACCCAGGAACAAGAAUUCGGGCUCGACCUCGUCAUCUCUGGGCUCCACAGCGACGCCAGCGCAAGGCUCCGACAGUGUUGACCGGAAGCCAUGCCAUCAGCCCAUCACCGAUCUAACUCGUGACAUGUUGCCCCAUCGAGCUUCUCGCCGAUUUGGGGUAAAUCAAUUCUUCUCUUUUCCUUUGCUAUUCUGCUAUUUCCCUUUGCAGUAACAAAAUUUGCAAAACUUAUCAUUGUGUAUGGAUAUGGAUCUAGACAAAUUAAUUUGUGCAGGAUGCCGUGGCUGGAUCCUGUUGAUUUUAGUUCACUGAAAUUGGAGCUUAGGCAACUACUCUAGCUACGUGCAUUACUGGAAUUCAGAUACCUUUCAGAUAAUCAGAUAUGUCUUGUAGUGUCUCUCUCUUUCUCUAGCUACCUGCAUUAUUGGAAUACAGCACGCCUUAUUGCUUUGUGAAGGAACUGUGUUACUAAGGUGAAAAUUAAGGAAAGUUUGGAUAGCCCAUGGCAUGUUUCUAGUUAUAAAUCAUGGUUACGACUUAUUGCUUCAUAAUUAUUCUCUGACAUGGACUAUAGCAUGUGUUCUGCAGAUUCUAGUUGCUAACAUAUUGCAACUGUCACAAUAAGGUGUUUUCAAUAAAUUGUAUCUUUGGCCUUUGCCUAUAGACAUCCUUACAUACAAAAUGUAAAAGAGACUGCUAUCUUUAUUCAUUUGAUGUCGUUCAUGACCAAAGGUAAACUGAUUAUGGUGGCCUGGGUUCCUAAAUCAUGGAGAAACAAGAACGUGAUGUGUUUUGCAUCAAGGUUGAAAUGAUCAAUGAUCAGUGAUUGAAGUCAUAUAUUGUUUAUGCGUACAACACUGGGUCAAGAAGCAAUGGAUUUCAAAAAUUACUAUAUAUUUUACAUUGUAUUUUUAGUUGCACGGACUUGUAAUCUCCACAACUAUAUAUGUACUUUGCUGUCUAGAAUCAUGUCAUUAUGCAUAUAUACUCUCUCAUCGUGUGAAUGAGUAAUAUAUUUUUUUUCUUCCUACAAUCAAUACAGCUCCUAUGAUUAUUGAAA